AGGAAAUUCCCAAGUCGUCAUAAAUGUCAAUGUCUGUCGUGUUGUCGUGUUUUUAGUAGUUUUUAAUUUGCUUUUGCAAGGUUGAAUCAAAAAGUUGAUAUGAUUUCUCAUUAUUAAAAGACACGUCUCACAGUCUAAUAAAAAAAUAAAUACUGAACUAUUUACAUAUUACUUUGUUUCUGUAUUUAACCACGUAAGUACAUAAAAAGAUAACUUUUAAUUCAUCUGUGAAACUAGAUUGUCGCAAUUUUCUCAACACCAGAGGUUGGUGUAAUAUGACCUAGUGCUUCCAGAAGGAGUAUUACUUCAUUUAAUUUCGUCUCUAGUAAUGGCCAAUAAAUGCAAGGAUUGUGGCUGUACGUGCAAAAGAUGCAUAUCCACUGACCAUGAUGUCCAGCUACAUGUAGAAAUUGAAAACCUUAAACAACGUUUAUUUGAAAAGGAAAACCAUAUUGUAUCGAUGGAAACCAAUUUUUUAAAUGAAGCUAAUAAAUUUCCAAAUGGUGAACUAGUUGCAGUGAGAGAAGAAUUAAUAACUUGGCAGGAUAAGUACAAAAGUAUUGAACAGGCGUUAAGUAGUCCUAUAAUCGACAGUUGAAACUGUGACUGCUGCAGUGACAUACUGAAUAUUAAUGUUACUGUACACCUUAUAUAAAAAUGAAAAUGUAUUGAUAAUUCAUUAAGUUGAUAAU